rnacentral:rRNA from 1 species
UACGGGGGGUGCAAGCGUUACUCGGAAUCACUGGGCGUAAAGAGCAUGUAGGCUGGUUUGUAAGUUGGAAGUGAAAUCCUAUGGCUUAACCAUAGAACUGCUUCCAAAACUGCAGACCUAGAAUAUGGGAGAGGUAGAUGGAAUUUCUGGUGUAGGGGUAAAAUCCGUAGAGAUCAGAAGGAAUACCGAUUGCGAAGGCGAUCUACUGGAACAUUAUUGACGCUGAGAUGCGAAAGCGUGGGGAGCAAACAGGAUUAGAUACCCUGGUAGUCCACGCCCUAAACGAUGCACACUAGUUGUUGCUAUGCUAGACAUAGCAGUAAUGCAGUUAACACAGUAAGUGUGCCGCCUGGGGAGUACGGUCGCAAGAUUAAAACUCAAAGGAAUAGACGGGGACCCGCACAAGCGGUGGAGCAUGUGGUUUAAUUCGACGAUACGCGAAGAACCUUACCUGGCCUUGACAUAGUAAGAACUUUUUAGAGAUAAAUUGGUGCUAGUUUACUAGAGCUUACAUACAGGUGCUGCACGGCUGUCGUCAGCUCGUGUCGUGAGAUGUUGGGUUAAGUCCCGCAACGAGCGCAACCCUCGUGUUUAGUUACUAACAGUUCGGCUGAGGACUCUAGACAGACUGCCUGGGUAACCAGGAGGAAGGUGAGGACGACGUCAAGU